rnacentral:snRNA from 1 species
AUACCUUUCUCGGCCUUUUGGCUAAGAUCAAGUGUAGUAUCUGUUCUUAUCAGUUUAAUAUCUGAUACGUGGGCCAUUGGCCCACAUGAUAUUAAAUUUAUUUUUUGAGGGGGGGGUUCAUCACAGUAGCUAGCUACUGGGGCUCUAGAGCGUCGCCCGUGCGUUGCACUAUGGUUUGGGCCUGGCGCACCCCAU